GACGAACGCUGGCGGCGUGCUUAACACAUGCAAGUCGAACGGAAAGGCCCUGCUUUUGUGGGGUGCUCGAGUGGCGAACGGGUGAGUAACACGUGAGUAACCUGCCCUUGACUUUGGGAUAACUUCAGGAAACUGGGGCUAAUACCGGAUAGGAGCUCCUGCUGCAUGGUGGGGGUUGGAAAGUUUCGGCGGUUGGGGAUGGACUCGCGGCUUAUCAGCUUGUUGGUGGGGUAGUGGCUUACCAAGGCUUUGACGGGUAGCCGGCCUGAGAGGGUGACCGGCAACAUUGGGACUGAGAUACGGCCCAGACUCCUACGGGAGGCAGCAGUGGGGAAUAUUGCACAAUGGGCGGAAGCCUGAUGCAGCAACGCCGUGUGCGGGAUGACGGCCUUCGGGUUGUAAACCGCUUUCGCUCAUGACGAAGCUUUGUGUGACGGUAGUGGGUAAAGAAGCACCGGCUAACUACGUG
rnacentral:rRNA from 1 species